AGCGAACGCUGGCGGCAGGCCUAACACAUGCAAGUCGAACGAAGUCUUCGGACUUAGUGGCGGACGGGUGAGUAACACGUGGGAACGUACCUUUUGGUUCGGAACAACUCAGGGAAACUUGAGCUAAUACCGGAUGAGCCCUUAGGGGGAAAGAUUUAUCGCCGAAAGAGCGGCCCGCGUUAGAUUAGCUAGUUGGUGAGGUAAAGGCUCACCAAGGCUACGAUCUAUAGCUGGUCUGAGAGGAUGAUCAGCCACACUGGGACUGAGACACGGCCCAGACUCCUACGGGAGGCAGCAGUGGGGAAUCUUGCGCUAUGGGCGAAAGCCUGACGCAGCCAUGCCGCGUGAAUGAUGAAGGUCUUAGGAUUGUAAAAUUCUUUUACCAGGGACGAUAAUGACGGUACCUGGAGAAAGAGCCCCGGCUAACUUCGUGCCAGCCGCCGCGGUAAAAC
rnacentral:rRNA from 1 species